rnacentral:rRNA from 1 species
UACGUAGGCAGCGAGCGUUGUUCGGAGUUACUGGGCGUAAAGGGUGUGUAGGCGGUUCUUUAAGUUUGGUGUGAAAUCUCCCGGCUUAACUGGGAGGGUGCGCCGAAGACUGGAAGGCUUGAGUAUGGGAGAGGUAAGCGGAAUUCCUGGUGUAGCGGUGAAAUGCGUAGAUAUCAGGAGGAACACCUGCGGUGUAGACGGCUUACUGGACCAUAACUGACGCUGAGGCACGAAAGCGUGGGUAGCAAACAGG